UACGUAGGGGGCUAGCGUUAUCCGGAAUUACUGGGCGUAAAGGGUGCGUAGGCGGUCUUUCAAGCCAGAAGUGAAAGGCUACGGCUCAACCGUAGUAAGCCUUUGAAACUGGGAAACUUGAGUGCAGGAGAGGAGAGUGGAAUUCCUAGUGUAGCGGUGAAAUGCGUAGAUAUUAGGAGGAACACCAGUUGCGAAGGCGGCUCUCUGGACUGUAACUGACACUGAGGCGCGAAAGCGUGGGGAGCAAACAGGAUUAGAUACCCGGGUAGUCCCUGAG
rnacentral:rRNA from 1 species